UACAGAGGUCCCAAGCGUUGUUCGGAUUUACUGGGCGUAAAGAGCGCGCAGGCGGCCAAGUCAGUCGAAUGUGAAAGCCCCCGGCUCAACUGGGGAGGGUCAUUCGAUACUGCUCGGCUCGAAGACAGGAGAGGGUAGUGGAAUUCCCGGUGUAGUGGUGAAAUGCGCAGAUAUCAGGAGGAACACCGGUGGCGAAGGCGGGUCUCUGGGCCGAUACUGACGCUGAGGAGCGAAAGCGUGGGGAGCGAACAGG
rnacentral:rRNA from 1 species